ACGCGUCUCGAGCGCAGGCCGCAGCUCCUCUCCGCGACGGAGCUACGAGUGAUUACAAAGGCCAAAUCCCCAACCCUUCUUCUUCACCUUCCCACAAUCUCGUCUCCGCUCUUCCAAGCCAAGAAUCUGGAUCCAGAUCUCGUGGGAGACUGCCUGCCUACGAUCUCGCUUUGAUCGAAGUCUUAGACCGUGGUGUCUUUCGUGUUCAUCUCCUCGGGAGCCUCCGGAUCGCUUGAAGUUACGAGUGCUAUUUGGAUUGCUUGUUGCAAUCAUGUGGAUGUUUAAGCCAUUUGCUGGCAAGGAACCUGCCAGCCUUGAAGGCCGAACGAUCGAUGUUGGUAAUGUAAAGGUUCAUGUUCGAAAUGCCAUCGCGGAAGGGGGAUUUUCCUGCAUCUAUGUUGCCACUGAUGUUGUGCAACCAUCCAAACAGUAUGCCCUGAAGCACGUGAUCUGCAAUGAUGAUGAUUUGUUGGAUCUCAUCAUGAAGGAGAUCUCUGUGAUGAAGCUGCUCAGAGGACACCCAAAUGUUGUUGCUCUUGUGGCACACACCAUAUUGGACAUGGGCAGGAGGAAGGAAGCAUUGCUUGUAAUGGAGUUCUGUGAGAAGUCUCUGGCUACUUUGCUGGAAAACAGAGGGUCUGGAUACUUUGAGGAGAAACAGGUCCUCUUGAUUUUUAGAGAUGUUUGCAAUGCAGUGCAUUUCAUGCAUUCCCAAUCACCACCCAUAGCCCACAGGGAUUUAAAAGCUGAAAAUGUUCUUCUAGGACCUGAUGGAGCUUGGAAGUUAUGUGACUUUGGCAGCACCUCAACCAAUCACAAAUGCUUUGACAAGCCUGAAGAGAUGGGGAUUGAAGAAGACAAUAUCAGAAAGUACACAACUCCUGCAUAUAGGGCCCCUGAGAUGUGGGAUCUGUUUAGAAGGGAAGUUAUAUGCGAGAAAGUGGACAUCUGGGCUCUUGGAUGCCUUCUAUACCGAAUCUGCUUCCUCAAAUCUGCAUUUGAUGGUGAAUCAAAGCUUCAAGUCUUGAAUGGGAACUAUCGCAUACCUGACGUACCAAAGUACAGUUCUGCAUUGACCGAUCUGAUCAAGGAUAUGCUCAAGGCUUCUCCAAACACCAGGCCAGACAUCACGCAGGUCUGGUUUCGUGUUAAUGAACUACUUCCUUUGGAGUUGAAAAAGCACUUACCUGAUGGCUCUAGUGGAGCUGUUGAAAUGCAUCCACCUCCUUCAGGUUCUCAAGAUCAAGGUGUUCCAAGAAAGACCACUUUGUUGCCUCGAAGGGGCCUUGCUUCGGUACCAUCAUCACGGGAAUCCGACAAGGAGAUGCGUCAGACCAAACCCUUUCAAGAUGCUCCAAAGACAGGUCGUGGGGCGCUUGGUGCAUUCUGGUCCACUGAACAUGCAAAGGAUUCUGCAGUUGUUGAUAACAAAGAUCCCCACUUCGAUGAACCGAUCAAACAAUCAGCAUCGACUCAGAAUCGCAAUACAAGUGUUUGCAAAGUUAGCCCUCCAAGGGAAAGACAUGUUUAUCUUCGGAAUCAAGUCAGGAUUGAACAAGGGGACCCUGUGAAGAGGCCAGAUGAACGCACUGGUGAGGACUUUGAGAUCAAAUUUUUCCAAGAGAUGAAACAAAGUUCCAACCCAGAGAAGAAACCAGCUUUUGAGAAUGAGACAUUUAAUACUUUUGUGGCUGAUUUCGGUACUGGCAAGUUGAACUCCAAGAACAUUACCGGUGAUAAUAUACCACAUAAAAGAGAGCUAGAAGCAGAAGUUGACCAGCUAAAAGGGCAGCUGAAGCAGGCCAAUUUGGAGAAAACUGAAAUUACAUCCAGAUAUGAAAAGCUAUCCGCAGUUUGCCGUUCUCAACGACAAGAGAUACAGGAAUUGAAGCAUGCUCUUGCAGCAGUAAGUCCAUCACCACCGGGCAAAGACAGCACAAAGAACCAUGAGCAUCCUGGGAGCCUGCAGUCCAUAACUCCGCCGAGGAUGAAGAUUGAAGGAACUGUGUGGGAACUCCAGCAAGGAAUGAUGCACCCUUCUCCAUCACCUAGACCCGAGACAAAGACGUGGAAUGCUUUCGGGGCAACCAAUGGCCAUCAAAAUGUUAUGUCGGCCGUGAAUCCCUCAACAGAUCUGUGGGGCUUCAAUUUGGGGAGUUUUACAGCUUCGUCUGGUUCGCAGAUAUCUGGGAGCUCUGCUCAAGGAAAUGCUUCCAUGAGGACUAACAGUGGGGCAACAAAGAAGGCAGAUGCAAACCAGCCCGCCGGAUGGGCCGGUUUCUAAAUGCAUUACCAUACCAUCAUGAUAUAAUGCAUAGUGUGUCGAAAUGUUAUUUAUCAUGGUUCUUGUCACAGCAAGGGGACUUGGGAAGCUCAUGUUUUCUGCCGUUGGGCAGAAUCUGCUCGAUCUGUAGUUGGGGACUGCGAGAAUUAAGACGUUUCUCCGCUACUCCCAUCUGCCAGCAUGCCUCAUCCCGCGGUGGCGGAGGCGGGGCAGAGGAAGCCGCGGAUAUCGGUGGCCGGUGGUGGGUUGGGCGGCUUGGUCUUGACGCUGGUGGCUAAGAGGAGGGGAUUCGAGGUGCAGAUGUUCGAAAAGCAUCUGAGCGCGAUCCGGGGAGAGGGCCACGAAACGCGCUCGCCGUGCUCCACGCCAUCGACCCCGACGUCGCCCGCGAGAUCGCCGCCGCCGACAUAUGCCUCAUGGGCCAUCGCCUCAACGGCCUCGCCGACGGCAUCACCGGCCACUAGUAUGCACUCUGCACUUGCUCUCUGUAAUUAGUCUCGGAUCGAUUUUUCGUUCGUUGGAGGUACGUAUUUCCAUCCAUUUAUAUGUUUGUGACCUAAAUGCCCAACCCAUAAAAACCCUACUUUUGAGCUCUCUAUAACGAUUCUUCUUUCACAGGAUUCCGUCUCUCGGUUUCUUUGACAGGUUUACCGAGUUUGACUUGUUGACGCCAGCUCAAGUAAUAUGUAGAAUUUCACUGCAGGAAAUAUUGCUUAAGAGCAAUGGGUUCUAACACAGUCCUUCUUAACAAAGCAAAUGUUGUUAUUGACUUCAGGGAAUAUUCUAAUGCAUCAACUUAACUUAAUAAGUAUGGAAUUAGCUUACCUUC